rnacentral:rRNA from 1 species
AUUGAACGCUGGCGGAAUGCUUUACACAUGCAAGUCGAACGGCAGCACGGGAGCUUGCUCCUGGUGGCGAGUGGCGAACGGGUGAGUAACAUAUCGGAACGUACCCAGUAAUGGGGGAUAACUAGUCGAAAGAUUAGCUAAUACCGCAUACGCCCUGAGGGGGAAGGCGGGGGAUCGUAAGACCUCGCGUUAUUGGAGCGGCCGAUAUCUGAUUAGCUAGUUGGUGGGGUAAAGGCCUACCAAGGCGACGAUCAGUAGCUGGUCUGAGAGGACGACUAGCCACACUGGAACUGAGACACGGUCCAGACUCCUACGGGAGGCAGCAGUGGGGAAUUUUGGACAAUGGGCGCAAGCCUGAUCCAGCCAUUCCGCGUGAGUGAAGAAGGCCUCGGUUGUAAGCUCUUCGCAAGGGUAAGAAACGAUGCAGCUUAAUAAGCUGCGUUAAUGACGGUACCUUGAUAAGAAGCACUGGCUAACUACGUGCCAGCAGCCGCGGUAAUACGUAGGGUGCGAGCGUUAAUCGGAAUACUGGGCGUAAAGCGUGCGCAGGCGGUUUU